rnacentral:lncRNA from 1 species
CUAUAGCAUAAUGAACAUCCGUAUCCAUCAUGAUGCGUCAAUUACAUACAGUUUCAUAUUUUAUCUUCCACCAGAAAGUAUAUGAAUAACUGUGGAAAAUUCUGGAUGGUACAAUCUGUCACUCAAAUAUAUGACCGACUUCUGCAUAUAUAGACAUAUUAAACACUAACCUUUGGCAGAGAACUCAAAUGAGCAUUGCUAAGAUGAAGGUGAGACUCUACAGAUCAGCUUGGGAGAUAACUUCCAUCAAGUAGACCACAGGUAAAAUCAUUGUCUGCAAACUCUAUUUUGUCUGCCUUCACAACAG